CAGCAAGGCUCCCGCGCGCUCGAGUCUGCAGCAACCCUGUGCACUCAUUCCCACAGUGCUUCCAGAACACAGUUUGAGGCCUUAUUCUGUUCUUUCCAGAACAAGGCUAUAGAAAUUUCAGACAAUU
rnacentral:snoRNA from 1 species